AUUGAACGCUGGCGGAAUGCUUUACACAUGCAAGUCGAACGGUAGAGGGGGCAACCCCUCGAGAGUGGCGAACGGGCGAGUAAUAUAUCGGAACGUGCCCAGUCGUGGGGGAUAACGUAGCGAAAGUUACGCUAAUACCGCAUACGAUCUAAGGAUGAAAGCGGGGGAUCGCAAGACCUCGCGCGAUUGGAGCGGCCGAUAUCAGAUUAGGUAGUUGGUGGGGUAAAGGCUCACCAAGCCAACGAUCUGUAGCUGGUCUGAGAGGACGACCAGCCACACUGGAACUGAGACACGGUCCAGACUCCUACGGGAGGCAGCAGUGGGGAAUUUUGGACAAUGAACGCAAGUCUGAUCCAGCCAUUCCGCGUGCAGGAUGAAGGCCCUCGGGUUGUAAACUGCUUUUGUACGGAACGAAAAGGUCUCUCUUAAUACGGGGGGCUCAUGACGGUACCGUAAGAAUAAGCACCGGCUAACUACGUGCCAGCAGCCGCGGUAA
rnacentral:rRNA from 1 species